rnacentral:rRNA from 1 species
GCGAGAAUCUUCCGCAAUGGACGAAAGUCUGACGGAGCGACGCCGCGUGCGGGAUGAAGGCCCUUGGGUUGUAAACCGCUGUCAGAGGGGAUGAAAUCUUCGAAGGUUAUCCUUCGAAGUUGACAGAGCCUCAAAGGAAGCACGGGCUAAGUACGUGCCAGCAGCCGCGGUAACACGUACUGUGCGAACGUUAUUCGGAAUCACUGGGCUUAAAGGGUGCGUAGGCGGCGAUACAAGUCAGGUGUGAAAUGCCGGAGCUCAACUGCGGCAUUGCGCUUGAAACUGUGUUGCUGGAGUAUUUCAGGGGUGUGGGGAACUGCCAGUGGAGCGGUGAAAUGUGUUGAUAUUGGCAGGAACACCGGAGGCGAAAGCGCCACACUGGGGAAUAACUGACGCUGAGGCACGAAAGCCAGGGGAGCGAACGGGAUUAGAUACCCCAGUAGUCCCUGAGCGGGCUGGCAAGGCGCAU